AACAUGGACCAAUAUUCAUUUCAUGCUGCCCUUCGGCAGUACCUCCUUAGUGGGAAUGUUGAUGCCACAGUUGACCGGAAGAAAGUCAUUCGGGUGGCCAACAACUUUGUUGUAAAUGACAACAAGUUAUUCUACACUGGCCCAAGCAGGCAGUAUAUGAGGCUGGUUGUUAUGUCUGAACAACAGAAAGAAGCUGUCCUUGAAGGAGUGCCACAACAAACCUGGCACUGGUAACCAUGCUGGAGUGAGGGCCACCAGAGACAGGGUCAUCGCUGGGUACUUCUGGACCACUCUAAAGGCAGAUGUGGAAGAAAGGGUACAAUGUUGUCGGCAAUGCCAACUGAAUGAUCCCAUAAAGACCGUUCCACGGGUUCUUCACCCAAUAAAGGUGAACGAGCCAUGGGAUGUGGUGGGCAUGGACCUGGUUGGUCCAUUAAGAGAGACCCAAAGGACUCACAAGUAUAUUUUAACCAUCACUUAUCUCUUCACAAAAUGGGUCAUUGCAGAGCCCCUAAAGAACUGUUCGGCCAGUAUUGGCAGCCCUGGUCUCUAAACUUUACAUGUUCGGUAUGGUCCGGAAAAUAAUUUCGGACAGAGGCAGCGAGUUUGUGAAUGAGCUCAACACACAUAUCUUUGAGGCACUGAAUAUUCAGCAUGCAGUGUCCAGUGCCUACCAUCCACAAAAAAGUAAGUGUCCUGGCACAAAAUGCUAAGAAUUCAAUGUUAUUCGGUUAAUUAAUGAUUUGUUUGCUUAAGAUGUGUAUGUAAUACAUACAUUUUCAUGGAAAAUGGCCUUUUCAUGGAAGUGCCUUCCUCCACUGCACUUCUUUCACUGACCUUUUGACCCAUGAAAAACUUCAAAGAGCUGAUGCAUUGUUUCAAAAUAAAAGUGCUUUGGGUAGGGCAACACCAAUUACAUAAAUUUGGGGGACAAAUAUUUAUUUGAUAUUAUUCAUAUUAUUAGUGUAUUUUUACCAUUUCAGUGUUGUAGUACAUUCAUACAGGGUUAAAGCCAAAUGUAAAUUAGAUUUGUUUUAUAAAAAAAACAUGGUUUUAAAUAAUAAGUACAAAGUUCAACUUCCAUGUAUGAUCAAAGCGACAGGGCAAUUUUCAGGACAAGACAUUUAAAAAAAAAGUUUAAAAAAAGGAAAAAAAGAAAAUUAAAUAAAUAAACUCUCUCAUCAUUUUAAGGACAGUCUAUAUUUAUUAAAUAUAUAUCAUUAUGGGAUUAUUGGGUCAAAUUAAAUGAUUAAGGGGUCUGCAAAAGGAACAAGCAUUUCCACCUUUUUUGUUGAAUGACCCCCCUACUGAAAAAUCAUUCUGCAGAUUGCAAAGAAAUUCUUCAAAACAAGUUUUUAACUUUAUUUCCACAGUAUAUAUGGGGACCAUAUCUUUAGCAAUAUACAUUGCGACUGCAUCUGUGAUCAUUUUCCAACUGUCCCCUUCUUAUCAUACUGGAUAGGUACUGGUGAUGCGUGGGUCAGGAUUUUUUUCAACCCGCAGGUCCCACUUUUAUAAAAAAUUUGGCCCACCACGCACCACUGUAUCUAUUUUUCCAACCUGCUCUGUGACCAUUAAAAUGGACAUACUAAGCAUGUGUAAUGUAAACGAAAACAGGCUUUAUUUCAGCCUAAAAGUGCUUGGAAACAGCCAUUAGAUUACAUCGCCCUGUAAACUGGCAACAAUACGCUUAAGUUAUGAACCACAGAAACCAGCAUUGUCAUUUUAUAAUGAUAAACAUUUUUAACAUUUACAAAGCAAAGUUUGUAUUAUCUACCAACAAAUUUAGACCUUAAUAUCUCUUGGACCUCAUCUUUCAUCUUCACUUUUAUUUCUCUGUUUAUUUUAUUUUUGUGGCUUGCAGUGGAAGCUACUUGGCGCUUUCGUGACGUAAGGCCAACAGUGUUAUGAAGUUAUGUUGCUACGUAGCCUACGUAAUUUAACCUUAUAAAAGAACCUAAUAAAAUAUGAAAAUAAACAUUCCCAAAUAUUUAAUAAAGACUAUGGGGUAUUGCACACAACAUAUAUGUUUUUUUUUUAUUUUGUUUUUAAUGACCCGCUCCGCAAUAAAGUGACAACUUAUAUAAAUAAAAAAGUAUUUCAUUUAUAUAAAUUGCACCAAAAAGAAAAACCAAAAUAUUAAAAACAUGAAAGAUCAAAAUCUUCAUUUAAACCCAAAGGGGACUAGCCUGGUAAUACCAUUCUCUGCUACUUUGCUUGAGCGGAAGUACAAAGUCUGACGUAGUCAGGCUAAAAGGGGACAUGGUCUCUAAAUAAAACACCCAAAAUGACUCUCUGUGUAAGAGUUUUCAAUAUCUCCACCACAGUAAGAAUUAAUUUCUUUCUCAAUACAUUAAAGGUCAC